UAAGGAGGAUGCGAGCGUUAUCCGGAUUUAUUGGGUUUAAAGGGUGCGUAGGCGGGUUAUCAAGUCAGCGGUAAAAUCGUGGAGCUCAACUCCAUCCAGCCGUUGAAACUGAUGAUCUUGAGUGGGCGAGAAGUAUGCGGAAUGCGUGGUGUAGCGGUGAAAUGCAUAGAUAUCACGCAGAACUCCGAUUGCGAAGGCAGCAUACCGGCGCCCGACUGACGCUGAAGCACGAAAGCGUGGGUAUCGAACAGG
rnacentral:rRNA from 1 species